rnacentral:rRNA from 1 species
UACGUAGGUGGCAAGCGUUGUCCGGAUUUACUGGGCGUAAAGCGUAUGCAGGCGGACCUUUAAGUAGAAAGUGAAAGGUUGAGGCUCAACUUCAACACUGCUCUCUAUACUGGAGGUCUUGAGUGCCGGAGAGGAAGAUGGAACUGCACGUGUAGCGGUGAAAUGCGUUGAGAUGUGCAGGAACACCAAUGGCGAAAGCAAUCUUCUGGACGGAUACUGACGCUGAGAUACGAAAGCCAAGGGAGCGAACAGG